rnacentral:rRNA from 1 species
UGCCCCAGUAACGGCGAGUGAAGCGGCAACAGCUCAAAUUUGAAAUCUGGCUCUCGGGCCCGAGUUGUAAUUUGUAGAGGAUGCUUUUGGUGAGGUGCCUUCCGAGUUCCCUGGAACGGGACGCCAUAGAGGGUGAGAGCCCCGUCUGGUUGGACGCCGAUCCUCUGUAAAGCUCCUUCGACGAGUCGAGUAGUUUGGGAAUGCUGCUCUAAAUGGGAGGUAUAUGUCUUCUAAAGCUAAAUACCGGCCAGAGACCGAUAGCGCACAAGUAGAGUGAUCGAAAGAUGAAAAGAACUUUGAAAAGAGAGUUAAAAAGUACGUGAAAUUGUUGAAAGGGAAGCGCUUGUGACCAGACUUGGGCUUGGUUGAUCAUCCGGGGUUCUCCCCGGUGCACUCUUCCGGCUCAGGCCAGCAUCAGUUCGCCUCGGGGGAUAAAGGCUUCGGGAAUGUGGCUCUCUCCGGGGAGUGUUAUAGCCCGCUGCGUAAUACCCUGUGGCGGACUGAGGUUCGCGCAUUCGCAAGGAUGCUGGCGUAAUGGUCAUCAGUGACCCGUCUUGAAACACGGACCAAGGAGUCGUCUUCGUAUGCGAGUGUUCGGGUGUCAAACCCCUACGCGAAAUGAAAGUGAACGCAGGUGAGAGCUUCGGCGCAUCAUCGACCGAUCCUGAUGUUAUCGGAUGGAUUUGAGUAAGAGCAUACGGGGCCGGACCCGAAAGAAGGUGAACUAUGCCUGUGUAGGGUGAAGCCAGAGGAAACUCUGGUGGAGGCUCGCAGCGGUUCUGACGUGCAAAUCGAUCGUCAAACAUGGGCAUGGGGGCGAAAGACUAAUCGAACCUUCUAGUAGCUGGUUUCCGCCGAAGUUUCCCUCAGGAUAGCAGUGUUGAACUCAGUUUUAUGAGGUAAAGCGAAUGAUUAGGGACUCGGGGGCGCUAUUUAGCCUUCAUCCAUUCUCAAACUUUAAAUAUGUAAGAAGCCCUUGUUGCUUAAU